rnacentral:rRNA from 1 species
UACGUAGGGUGCGAGCGUUGUCCGGAAUUACUGGGCGUAAAGAGCUCGUAGGUGGUUUGUCACGUCGUCUGUGAAAUUCCGGGGCUUAACCUCGGGCGUGCAGGCGAUACGGGCAAUACUUGAGUGCUGUAGGGGAGACUGGAAUUCCUGGUGUAGCGGUGAAAUGCGCAGAUAUCAGGAGGAACACCAAUGGCGAAGGCAGGUCUCUGGGCAGUUACUGAUGCUGAGGAGCGAAAGCAUGGGUAGCGAACAGGAUUAGA